UACGGAGGAUCCGAGCGUUAUCCGGAAUUAUUGGGUUUAAAGGGUGCGUAGGCGGCACUUUAAGUCAGGGGUGAAAUACAGCGGCUCAACCGUUGCAGUGCCCUUGAUACUGAAGUGCUUGAAUGUGGCCGAAGGAGGCGGAACGGGACAAGUAGCGGUGAAAUGCAUAGAUAUGUCCCAGAACCCCGAUUGCGAAGGCAGCUUCCUAGACCGUUAUUGACGCUGAUGCACGAAAGCGUGGGGAUCGAACAGG
rnacentral:rRNA from 1 species